AUGAGAGUGAAAGCUGACAAAUUGAAGGAGGACAUCAACUUGUUGUUCAACAAUACUAUGGUAGAACAAUUGACUUUAUUGGAUGCACUCCAACGUCUUGGAAUAGAUCACCUUUUCCAAGAACAAAUCAACACCGUGAUUAACGAAAUCUACGAGAGUGAAUCCAAUAGUUCUAGCCUCUAUGAGGUUGCUCUUCGAUUUUGCUUGCUUAGAGAACAUGGACUUUGGAUAUCUCCAGAUGUAUUCAAUAAGUUCAAGGGAGAAGAUGGUAGCUUCAACAAGGAUAUAACUAAUGAACCGAGGGGACUGUUAAGUUUAUACAAUGCAGCUUACCUUUCUGUCAAUGGUGAAUCUGAACUCGAUGAAGCCAUGGCCUUUGCAAGGCACCAUCUUGAAUCUAUGAGUGGCAGUCUUAAAUACCCUUUAUCUGAGCAAGUCAAACGAAGCCUUGAGAUACCAUUACCAAGGACUCUGAGUAGAGUGGAUGCGCCUUAUUACAUUGAGGAAUACAAACAAGAGAAAGCAUGCAACCCCUAUGUGCUAGAACUUGCAAAGCUCGAAUUUAAUCUUCUGCAACGUCUUCACCAGCAAGAGCUCAAGGAUUUUUGUCGGUGGGGAAAUGAUCUAUAUGAAGAAGUGGGACUAAGCUACUCUCGGCAUCGUACCGUUGAAAUAUACCUCUGGUGUUACACAAUACACUAUGAGAAACAAUAUGCACAUGCACGGAUAAUCCUUGCCAAGAUAUGUGUGCUAAUAUCUCUGCUAGAUGACACUUUUGAUAUGCAAGCUACCUUGGAAGAGGGUCGAAAGAUCAACGAAGCGAUACAAAGAUGGGACGAGAGUGCUAUCCCUAUUUUACCAGUGUACUUAAAAAAAUACUAUGUCAAGCUGAUGAAUAUCUUCAGAGAGUUGGAGGACGAACUGAAACAAGAUCACAAGUACCGCAUGGUUUAUUCUAGGAAAGCGAUCCAAACUCUAUGCAGGCAUUACCAACAAGAAUCUGAAUGGUUCCAUAGCAAUUACAUACCAAGCUUUCAAGAUCACAUCAAGAACUCUGUUAUCUCCACAGGUGCUCCAGCUACAUUCGUGACUUCACUCAUUGGUAUGGGCGACGAAGUAACUGAGGAAACAUUCCAGUGGGCCAUUGGUUGCACCGAUGCCGUGAAGGCUUGCAGUGAGGUGGCACGUUUCAUGAAUGACAUGACUGCAUUUCAGCACGGGAAGAACAAACUGGAUGCGGCCAGCUCAGUAGAUAGCUAUAUCAACCAACAUCAUGUCACGGGUGAGGUAGCAAUGGCCGCGGUGGGUAAACUGGUUGAAGAUGCAUGGAAAACUACCAAUCAGGCACGAUUUGACCGUCGUGCUAUGCUCCUGCCUUUAGAACGAAUCAUCAGACUGACCAAGAGCAUGACCUUGAUGUACCGUGGCAAUAUUAACCUGUACACAUUCACAAGUGGCAACAAAGACAAGAUCCAGCAGCAGUUCAUCGAACCUAUCCCACUCUAG
rnacentral:rRNA from 1 species